UAAAGAAAGAAAUAAGUUUACAGUGCAGAAAAUCAUGAAUAUAAGAAAAGGGACAGUAUAAGUUCAGUUCAGCCGUGUCUGAUGUUUCAUCAUUUGUGGGUAACCCUGUAUAAAAUAAAGAUGAAAUUGUUAAGGCUAUAACCAGGGAUAGUUAUGGUUAAAUUAAAAUUAACCUGUAAUGAAUAAUGAAAAAGAUUUCUCGGAGAGGAAUUAAUUUUGUUUAUAAAGUCAGUUAAACCGUGAUUUAAAACGAUCAAUUUUCAGAGGGAAAAACAAGAACCAUUGGAUAACUGUGAAUCGUGUAUGAAAUUUUUAAAUAAAUUUUUAAUAUUUUUAGAUAAUGUCGACAGCCCAUUCUAUAGUUUCUACCUCAUAGUCCUGCAGUUCCCACAGCUAGUGUUUGGUCCAAUCCUCUGAUAUUUUCUCUUAAACAGGAUUGAGGUAGAAUGCGUUCUCAUCAGCAUCUUGGGUUAGGUAUUCUUUGGCCAGGUACAUGACGACCUGAAACUAAAUGAACCUAGCAAUCUAAAGGAGAUGAGCUUGCUUGUAUACUUCCUAAACUAUGCAAAUGAGAUAUCAAAAAAACUCAAGAAAAUGCAAGAAAAAAUGUUGAAAUAAUUUGAACAGUGUAUACUCAUCGUCUCUGAAGUUUCAUUUUUUGGGGGGUAACCCUGGACAAUGAUUUUUGGUUAAUAUAUUGAAUACUUUUUGAAAAUAUGUGUAGAUAUUUAUGUGUGCUUUAUUUUAAUUUUUAACUUCAUAAG